AGCUCUGUAGAAGAAUCUCGUCUAAUCUUUAUAUCAGACACCAUCCCCAGUUCUCUGACUCCGGAGGAACUUUCACUGAUUAGGAUUCAGUACGGAGUUCCUUCGAAGUACGAGCUGGAGCUCCCCGGGCCAACUGACCGGGCUAGUGCUCCUCCCCCUGGCUGCUUCUGUUUAUACCAAGAAACUUUCCGCACCGGGCUUCGACUUUCGCUCCCGCCUUUUAUCAUUGCUCUCUUCCACUUUUUAAACAUUUUUUUAGUUUCUGUAGCACCGAACUCUUUUAGAUUUCUAAUAGGAUUUCUUUCCCUCUGUUGCCUAGCCGAAGUCC
rnacentral:lncRNA from 1 species